rnacentral:lncRNA from 1 species
GCUUAAUAAUCCUUCAGUCUUUAAAGGUAUUUUUAUUUAAAGUAAGAUGUGAUAAUGAGGCUAACUGUACAUACAUAUAUUUACCUCUUUCCUAUGCACAACUUAGAAAAUAUGUUGUAUAUGUUGAAGCAGCAAUAAAGUAGAUGAGUAGGAAAUUGUUCGGGUAGGGGACAUGGCUCAGUACCUACAGUGCUUGGUCAGUACCAUUAUAGGACUAAUAAAUAUCCAGUGGGUGCGGCAGCCUCAUCAGGACCCAGAAGGUAGGACUCCAGAGCAAGCUGGUUGGCCAGUGUGAGUUUGGGCUUUGAUUGAAAGGCCUACUUCAAAAAGAAUAAGAUUAAUAGUAAGGAAGAUAUUUAGAUUACCUCUGUUCUCCACAGAUUGACACACACACAUGAAGCUUUACACAAGUGGGCCAACACACAUGUAUACAUACAAUCACAGCACACACACAUGAAAUGAAAUGAAAAAGGAAAAAAAUACUUUGAGAAGUGAGCUUGAGGAAGGAAGCUAACUAAUACUUCCUUACUCCCUGCCUGAUCAAUCCACAAAAUUAAUAAAAUUCACAUUUUCAGCUAGAUAGUAACUAAAAAACUAUAGGCUGCAAAAUAGCAUUUUCACUGGCAAAGCAUUAUGAUCUUCAUAUGUGACUGAGGUGCUCAAGCCUGUCUCAGGCUGUGAUCCAUCUUCCUACAGUGUUCUUCUCUUCAGUUUCUUCAGUUACAUUGUUCUUCAUAAACUGAAGCUUUUAAGUCUCUCACACUGUGCCUCUGUUAAUUUGGAAUAAUUCAGGAAUAAUUUUUUGUGUUUGUUUGUUUGUUUGUUCAUUUUGUUUGUUUUUGUUUUGUUUUUGAGACAGGGUUUCAGGGUUUCUCUGAGUAGCCCUGGCUGUCCUGGAACUCACUCUGUAGACCAGGUUGGUCUCGAACUCAGAAAUCCGCCUGUCUCUGCCUCCCAUUAACUCCCUAACUUCAACAUCGCCCGGCUCUGUAUCAUUGGACAAAUUGGUAUGUUUAUCUCCCAUAAUCUCCCUUGUCUGUAAACUGAAGCUACUCUGCAUUCCUCUCUGUUUGAAGUUUCUGUUUUGAAGCUAAAUAAAUCAGGCUGUUACUCAGUGUCUCUAUAUUUAACUAAACUAUGCAUCUAUCUAACAACUGGAGACAGCAACUAGACACAAAAUUCUAUUUUAUAAUAAUAUCGGAAUCUAUACCUAAUUUCCAACUAUUGCUAAGCCAACUAGAUUCAGUGUGAAUCCAGCCUGAAUAAUCUGGAUUAAAUAUAUUAUAAGCGUAACAGAACUCCAUCUUGAUUCAAUAAUUCAAGGUAUUAUGAAUAUAAACACAACAAAUGGGUGUUAUCUGAUCAGUCUUGGUUGGGAGCAAUAGAGAAAGAAACUUAAAAUGACAAUGGCAAGCAUCUCAGCCUGCAAAGCCCUGGGAAGGGACACAAAAGCAGCCAGAAGCAGUAGGUACAGGGAUGACCAAGCCAUGGCUGUGGUUAGGUGUUACACACCACCAAGGACAGACAAGCUCCACCACCUGGGGAUUUUUUUAAAAUGAGCUAUUUAUUGAAAUAGAAGUUACAAUUUACACAGACAGCCAGGUUGUGGUGGUAGCAUAUACCUUUAAACCCAGUACUUGGGCAGUAGAGGCAGGCAGAUCUCUGAGUAAGAGUCCAGCCUGGUCUACAGAAUGAGUUCCAGUACAAGCAGAGUUACAUAGAGAAACAGCCUCAGAAAAAAAGAAGUUAUAUACUCUAUUUUUAUGCCUUUUAUUCAAUUCUGUGAGUGUUGAUCCACGUUCUGCUAUUAAAGUAGCACAGAUAUAGAGGUUAAAAAUGAGGCUGUAAAGCAGCCAUCCUAGUGAGUCCCUGAACCUGUGACUGAUGAGUGCUGAUUCUCACUCUAAUGCUCUACUUGGUCAUACUCCUCACUGAGCUUUCAGUAGCCUCUAGAGCUUGCCUUUGUGGGCACAGUUGGCUCACCCUUCUGCCCUGCUCUCUAGUACCCCUGGAUCCCACCUGUGGCUGGACUUACCUGCUUCUCAUCUGUAGCAGUUGUAAUUCCUGUGAUAUGAUAUGAAAAUAGUCCUGCAGAUGCAACUGUCUGAUUUCUUAUCCUUAAAACUCCUGAGGUUGGAUUGUAGGCUGCCUGUAACAGCAAGUUAGCAAAUUUUCAUGCCUGCAUUGCCUUUGCAUGGAUAGUCUGUGUAUGGUUUAUCAGAUCAUCAGUUGCAACACAUUUGGUAAUU